ACGUCUGUGUCCAGUCCAGAAUGAAAUAUGGCCACUUUUGGAUGGUUUGCCAGGAGGUUGGGCCUUUUUGGCUGUCAUCUAGCACCAUUGUCAGCUCCAAGUUUUCAGAUAUUCAAUGAAACCAGUUUGACUGGCACAAAUGUUUGUACAGACAGAUUUAUUUAUUUCUACAGAAUGUUGUCAUCCCAUUUGUACUGCAACAGUGUCAAUGAAGAAGCAGAGGCUAAAUAUAAUCAUUGUCUUUCAACUUCACAGAAUCCGUCGUCUCUCAUGUCUAACAGUGAUCAACACAACUGUAAUUGUCAUGGUUGUUCAACCAAUAGUUAUAUGUAUAUAGUAAUAUAUACUAUAUAUAUAUAUAGUAUAUAUUAGUAAUAUAUAGUCAUUAUUAAUCAUACAUAUAAUUAUAUAUAUUUAAUUAAUAAUUACUUAAAUUGAAGUAAAUUCUUUGCAGCCAAAUACUGUAUUAUGUUCUAUUUUCUAUUUCAACCACUAAGUGGUGCUAAGAUAUAUGUAAAGCAUACACAGAUGACAGGUGAAGUUGUUUAUUGGUUCAAGAGGCUUUAUUUAACUCUUUUAAAGGCAUAUAAAUAAUUUCAAGUGUUCCAGUAUGCUUCUAUGAUGCUUUACACCUCCACGUCCAAGUGACAAACUUUAAAAAUGUUUGUAUAUUUUUUGGAAGACAACAGUACGGGGAAGCAGAAAGGCUUUUCAUGUUGGAGUGGGAUAAUGGAGCGAGUCGCACAGAGGUGUCGAGCUGCAGACUUUCUGUGGGGAUUUCCAGUUCACAUCGCUCAAAACAUCAGCACCGCCGCCACCACGUCAGCCGCUGACGGUUUCCGCACUCACCCAGCCGACGUCACAGUGGCAGUUGGAGAACCGGCCGUGUUUCGCUGUGGAGUUCCCGAAGCUUCUCCAGACUUCACAUUCACCUUGCGGGGGGCGCACGGAAACUACAUCCUCACGUGCCCCUCGGGCCACGUGGAAGACGUUCCCCAGGCUCUCUAUGGAAGUUGUGAGGUGAGAAAUGGAGAGUCAUCAGCUGUGUGGACCCUAAAGGGAACUUCUUUCUCCGACAACGGGACACAGGUCUCCUGUCAGCAGCCAAAGAAUCCUAAUAGCGCUGCUGGCGUGCUGCACGUCUACGAUAACGGCACCAGCCACGCCAUUCUCAUUGGUUGUAUCAUUGGGGGCUUCUUUGGCACGUUGUUGGUCUUCGGCUUACUGUACGUCAUGCUGCAGAGAUCUGAGAGGCUGCAGAAGUGCUUCUGGAGCGGAGAAACACCGGAGGAUUCGACCACAAUAGUAACAAAGGAGUAA
ensembl:lncRNA